ensembl:snoRNA
AUCUUUUUGGAGUUCAUAAGCAUGAUCAUUGGGUUUUCAUGUGCAUGUGUGAGAUGCGACUCCUUCAAGCCUUGUUACAACAUCAGCACAUUACCAGUCUGACA